UUGCAGACUGCGUGCAAGUAUGUCAUUGCGUUUGAUUUUCACAGCCUUCCUGAAAAGUCAACCGUGAUCACCCUCAUUCCUGAGAAAGAAACUGGGACUCAGAGAUUAAGCGACUUGGUCCAAACAGCCGAGCUAGAAUCUACCUAAAACCAGAACAGGCCCUUCUUCUACAUCCUACCCUGCAGCGCCCUAUAGAACAUUACAGACCUGCAGUCAUCUCGGGGUACGAAGUUCAAUCCCAGCUCCCCUGUUCCACUCCUACCCCUGGAAUUUUGGCCAAUUCUUGGCAUCCUGAGCAGAAAGGCCCUGCCACAAUGAACGCUGAACUGGUUACUGAGAAUGAGUUUAAUAUGAUCAAGAGGACACUGACCAACUUUAUGUUGCUAGAUAAAGUUGCAGUGGCAAAAAAGAUUGGAGAGCGC